rnacentral:rRNA from 1 species
GAUGAACGCUGGCGGCGUGCCUAAUACAUGCAAGUCGAGCGAACAGACGAGGAGCUUGCUCCUCUGACGUUAGCGGCGGACGGGUGAGUAACACGUGGAUAACCUCCUUAUAAGACUGGGAUAACUACGGGAAACGGGCGCUAAUCCCGGAUAAUAUCUUGAACCGCAUGGUUCAUUAGUGAAAGACGGCUUUGCUGUAACUUCUCGAUGGAUCUGCGCCGCAUUAGCUAGUUGGUAAGGUAACGGCUUACCAAGGCAACGAUGCGUAGCCGACCUGAGAGGGUGAUCGGCGACACUGGAACGGAGACACGGUCCAUACUCCUACGAGAGGCAGCAGUAGAGAAUCGUCCGCAGUGGGCGAAAGCUUGACGGAGCAACGCCGCGUGAGUGAUGAAGGUCUUCGGAUCGUAAAACUCUGUUAUUAGGUAAGAACAAAUGUGUAAGUAACUAUGCACUUCUUGACGGUACCUAAUCAAAAAGCCACGGCUAACUACGUG